AUUAAAAUCCAUGCUGUUUGACGCCAGUGACGUAGCAAGAAGGGGGGCAUGGCCAUAUUUUACUGCCCCUCCUUCCCAAAAAAUCCUGGGAACGGCACUGUUUGACGCUUUCUCAAUAUUUUUUCAAAUGUGGCUAACAUGAAUCAUGUCUAGAAGUCUAUACCAUUUGUGCAAGAUUUUUGCAUAUACUCUGGCUUAAAAAGUGCACGCCUUUAUAUGAAAGUUUGCAUUACUGUCUUCAUUCUGCUUGCAAUUUCGUCAUCCUGAAUGUUUCUUGCGUUUCAUUUCCAAGUACUCGCACUCAAAGGUAUGGUUAAAACCGUACAGAAAGACCAGCGUAUUUAUCAAUGAUCUAGAACCCAAUCCACUAGUUAACUGACUCCGCCGAUAUUGUAUGGCAAAACUGACAAUAUUUACGACUAAUAUCUGCUUUUGCUGAGUUGAUAUAAAGUUGCAAAGCUCAUAGUAUGGGUUUAAAUCUUCAAAUGUUUGAUAGGAAAGGUUUUUUAAACUUUAUUUUACCUCACUUUUCAUUUUGAGUUUUACUUUUUUCCCUCUAUUCUAUGAUGGCGUCCUUGCCUCAUCUUGACACGGCAGUUAGACAUCUAGAAGACUGGGUUCUAAAUUAUUGGUAUUUAUCAGUGUAUUUAUACAUAGAACUACGGUUAUAUCAACAGAACGUUAAUGCGCCACAUCCUUACACCUAUUUUCUAUCGUUUGUCUCAGUUUUUAGCCAAUUUUGCUAAUCUAUAUAGAUAGCAAGUCAUCGUUACAUCUAUUCAAGGAAUGUAAGAUUUGUAGUAGGUUUGACCUAACAGUUGUAUGAAAUUUAUUUAUUCGCUGUAAUUUUUUUUUAAAAGGAAUACCAGUCUUAAAAUUAUUUAGCUACCGUGUAACCUUUCAUCGAAGUUAUAUAUUUUCAAAUAAACACAUGCACUUAUCAGUU